rnacentral:rRNA from 1 species
UAAAGAGUGCGUAAUAGCUCACUGGUCGAGGGUUUCGGCGCCGAUAAUGAUCGGGAAUAAGCAAUGUACCGAAGCUGCGGGCUGCGUAAGCAGCGGUAGGAGAGCGUUCCUGUCAGCAGAGAAGGCGUCCCGAAAGGGUCGCUGGAGCGUCAGGAAGUGAAUAUGCCGGGUUGAGUAACGAUAAAGCAGGUGAAAAUCCUGCUCGCCGAAAAUCUAAGGUUUCCUGGGGAAGGUAAAUCCGCCCAGGGUCAGCCGGGACCUAAGGUAAGGCCGAAAGGCGUAGCCGAUGGACGGCAGGUUAAUAUUCCUGCGCUACUGUGGAGAUCAAUCAUGAGUGCGGAUCGGUCAGCCCUGCGUAAGCACCAGCUUGCUGAGGCCCUUGAGGCCGCUGCAGGGGGCUCUGGUCCCGAGAAAAGCUCAUGUGGCAAAGCAGUACCCGUACCAAAACCGACACAGGUAGAUGAGGUGAAUAACCUAAGGCGCUCGAGAUAACGGAAGUGAAGGAAUUAGGCAAAUUGACCCCGUAAGUUCGCGAUAAGGGGGCCCUACCCCUCGGGGAGGGCGCAGAGAAAAGGCUCUGGCGACUGUUAUCAAAA